UACGGAGGGGGUUAGCGUUGUUCGGAAUUACUGGGCGUAAAGCGCACGUAGGCGGUUUAAUAAGUCUGAUGUGAAAGCCCUGGACUCAAUCCAGGAAGUGCAUUGGAUACUGUUAGACUAGAGUACAGGAGGGGUGAGCGGAAUUCCAGGUGUAGAGGUGAAAUUCGUAGAUAUCUGGAGGAACAACUGUGGCGAAGGCGGCUCACUGGACUGUUACUGACGCUGAGGUGCGAAAGUGUGGGGAGCGAACAGG
rnacentral:rRNA from 1 species